rnacentral:sRNA from 1 species
UCGCUUUUACCCGGCGAUCUGCUAAAAACUCCGCGCGUAGGUCCGUACUGCAACCGGGCCCUCUCUUCACAAGAGUGUCCCUGCGC